rnacentral:lncRNA from 10 species
AGACUGCUGUGCUAGCAAUCAGCGAGACUCCGUGGGCGUAGGACCCUCCGAGCCAGGAAAGGGAACUCCCUGACCCCUUGAGCUUCCCGAGUGAGGCAAUGCCUCGUCCUGCUUCGGCUCGCGCACGGUGCGCGCACCCACUGACCUGCGCCCACUGUCUGGCACUCCCUAGUGAGAUGAACCCGGUACCUCAGAUGGAAAUGCAGAAAUCACCCGUCUUCUGCGUCGCUCAACGCUGGGAGCUGUAGACCGGAGCUGUUCCUAUUCGGCUAUCUUGGCUCCUCCCCCUGGCUGUGGGUUUCUUAUAGAUGGCUUUUAUUACAUUGAGGUGGAGCCAGGGCGUGUGAUGGGAGCACGGGGCCUGAGCUGCAGCAUAAGUUUCCUCUGAUUUUCAACCUGGAAGACGAUACCGCAGAAGCUGUGCCCCUAGAAAGAGGUGGUGCGGAGUACCAGGCUGUGCUGCCCGAGGUCAGAAAGGUUCUUGCAGACGUCCUCCAAGACAUUGCCAACGACAACAUCUCCAGCGCAGAUUACACUCAGGACCCUUCAGUAACUCCCUGCUGUAAUCCCUACCAAAUUGCCUGCCGCUGUCAAGCCGCAUAACAGACCAAUUUUUAUUCCACGAGGAGGAGUACCUGGAAAUUAGAUGAUUACCACAUGCUGAGGGCACCUGACACAGAGCCCGGUGCAGAGCACUUGCCCACUAGAGGUUUGCCACUGAGACUGCCAGUGAAGAACAAAUCAAUGCAAGGGCACUGAAGCUUGUCGUUCUU